CACACACACACACACACACACACACACACACAGAGAAAUAUAAGCAAAAUAAAUACUUUUAAAGACAAGUUCCAAUACUUCUCUCUACUUGCCCCACCCUUUGCACUCCUUGUCUCCCUCCCGUGCCUUCUAGUCUAUAGACUCUUCUGAGUGAAGACAUGUCUUCAGUCGCAGAAGUGUUUUGAACAUCUCCUUGGUUAUUUAUUGACAAGAAUCACCUUUACUUUAUUCAGCAAAUGUUCAUGCUUAUUUUCUAAGUAGUGGAGUCAAUACCAGGCCGAAUGAUAAAGAUAAGGAAACCUGGCUGUUGUGGUACCCAACCUGUUAUUGUUCUGCUUGGGAGACUGAGGCAGGAGGACAGAGGGGUCUAGGGUAGCCUAGGCUGGACUGGGAGUCCUGGAAUAGAAAAACCAAAUCAAACCAAGUGUUGUGAUCUAGAUCUUUUAAUCCCAACACUUGGGAGGUAGAGGCAGGAGGAUCAAGGAUUUAUGGCUAGGGAGUCAGUCAGAUGCAGGUGAAAUACCUGUCUCUAAGCCUGGCAGUCCAAGUUCUGUCCCUGGGACCCACAUGUUGUGAGGAAAGAAUUUAUUACUGCAAGCUUUCUGCAAGCUGUCCUCUGACCUCUGUGUGCACACACACCCACAUGAGCGCAUGCAAACACACACACACUCACACACACACACUCUCACACACAUGCACAUAUACACACUCACACACCACACACCCUGACGAAUCUGGGACAGGGCAUUAAGAAGCCAUACUGUGUUGUGGCUUCGCAGUCCUGCCCAUACCUGGCUAUGCCAUUCUCCCUGUCAGAUGAACUGUUUAGAGUAAAUCACAGGUGUGGAGCUUCCUGUCGCCCUCUGAAAGGACACAAACGUCAGAUUCUCUCCUGUGCUUGGGGAUUUCUCUGGAGGCUGUCCUCUAGGCCUUCCCUACUUGUCCCUGUGACUGUCUGUCUUUAAGCUUCCCUCUUAAUGAAGCCUUCCUCCAGGUUUUAUUUAAAGAGCCUGGAGAAAGGUGAGAAAGGUGAGAGAGCCUCACCAUCCCUUUGGGCCCCAUCAUGGUGUCCCUGAUAAGAUACACUGGGUCUUUCUAUUGCUCUCCUUCCUCAAGGCCCAGUCAUGGCUUCUGUGUUCCCAAGGCUCUCUCUCCUAAUAAAGCCCACCUCUGAAAGGUGAUUAUGUGUCAGCUCCUUUCAGGAACCCACCAACCAUUGUGCUCCCCCCCACUGACCCCUUCAAGAGACAGAAGGGGGCUGCUGGGUGCCUGCCCCUGGAGAAGUGAGUUCUUCCUUUUUCUCCCCAACUUGUUGACUCUAGAUUUUUGUCAUUUCUGGGCUGGUGUGUAGUGUUGGUGUUGGCAGUGUGGUGAGCAUGUCACAAGAGUAAGAACAUUGUUACUUACUUGACAUGGUCGCAUUGUGUUUAUUCAAAGAACUUGCUUUUCAGCCACUCACCCACUCCUCAGUCAAUAAAGGAAGAAAUCCAAGCAAAAUAAAGAAAGAGGAAAUGAGAUUUGCAAACAACUACAACAAAAACCAAUCCGACAGAAAAGUACUGGGAAAGAGUGGCUGCUUUUGGGCCGUGCAUGCAUUGGGUGGCCAGGACACAGCUGUGGAGCUCUGGAGGAAUUCGAAGAAUGAGAGUCUGCAAGCCAUUUACGCUUUACGUUUUUACUGAGAGAACUCUUGCUUCUCCUACCAACUAUCACUGUUUGUGCUUUCUCUUAGGCUGGUUCACCUCCUAUGUGACAGGAGAUGAACUAUUUGUGGUGGGGAGAGAAUAGUGACUACAGAUUUGACCCACAGCUGGGUAAGGCCCUUAACCUGGCGCUUUCUCGCAGUAUGAGAUCCCGGGAGAGGAGGAAUCUCGAGACUGCUGACAGUACAGAAAUUCUCUACAGGUGUCGUCCCCCACAGUUAGGCCUAAGGGCAUGAGGAUGAGGAAGAGAUAAAAGUCCUCUGCUUCCGAGAUGGAGAGUUUGUUAUCAGAACCCUUCUGCUGGUGCUGCGUCCCAAGAGAGCAGUGGGAGCCUUGCACAAGUAGGACAGGGAUUCGGGGCGGAAACGAGGGAGACUUGGGAAUGGACACAGUUCAAAUCCAGUCUGAAGUCAUUUGCUUUGAAUGGCAAAAUCCUCUCAUUUUCUAAACCUUCUAGAAAAGUCUCCUACACCUCAACGGUAUCUUCUGGAAAUACUCGGUGAAAUCAAACACAGGUGUGCUCUCUCUUGGUUAACGCAGGGGAGCUGAGAGCUGUAGAACGAAGAGAUUCCAGAGAGCCAUGGUGAGAUGGAGAGGGCCGCUGGCGCAUGGGCCAGCUGGCCACCAGCCUUCUGAGAAGUCCUGGAGAGAUGAGAGGGGUCAGGUAGCUGGCCGAGAACCUGAACCCUGGAGUUACUGCGAGCAUGAUGCUUGUCAGACUCAGCUAUGACCUAGGGAUCAUGUCACCAUUCCUUUGGAAGGAAGGGAACUGAUGGCUUGUGUGAUGACUGUCAGCUUUUGAAGACCCGCUCUCCAAAGCAGCAGCUCCACUUCAUGCUCCUUAGUGUUGUGUGAGGGUCAGUGCCUAGGUCUCCACCAACACUUGCUGCUGUCUGCGCUUUCCCCACACCGUCUUAGUGGUGUGGAGUGGUCUUGAACUAUGGUUUGGAUUUUCAUUUAUCUUGUGACUAAUGAUAUCAAACACCGUUCAUGAGCUUACUGGCUAUUUAAAAGCUUUCUUUCAGUUGGCUGUCUUAAUAUUGGGCUAUAAUAUAAAUCUCUCAUCAGAAAAGUAACUUGCAAACAUGUUUUACUAUUCUGUGGGUUUAAAAAAACAUUAUUUAUUGUGUUCUGGAAGCAGAGCAGUUUCUCAUGUUGGCUACUUGUGCUGUUUGUUGCUAUAUCUAAAAUCCAUUGUCCAACCGAAAACUAAACAAUUUACUCUAGUGUUUUGUGCUGAGUUUUAGCUUUAGUUUUGUGUCCAUUUUGAUCCCUUUUUGUUCCCAUCUGCCUUCUAAUGUUCUUCUUUCUAUGUUUGUCCAACUGUGUUCCCUCUUAGUACACAUGACCCCUAAGUAUAUAUUUCAGCUGGUUCUAGUAAAUAAACCCUCAAUGUAUUCUGAGUUAUAGAUUUGUAAAAAUUUGCUUAGGAAAUUUAUAAUCUACAGCUGAUCAUCUAAGGCUGUAAGCACGUAGCAUAAAGAACUCCAUUUUGCUUGUUUCAUCCGCUUACAAAUAACAUAGUCUGAUGGAAGCUGUGAAGAGCCCCCUCCACACAUUAGGAAUGAAGGAUUCCUUGCCUCUGAAUACCAGCAAUGACCCUAAGACUCCCAACCCCAGUCUCCAGAUUUUAGCCUCCUGGGGGGAUCAGGUCAGUUAAAUUGUGCUGCUUUGCCUUCCUGGGACAGACCACACUCAUCACAGACUAGCAUAGGGUAUGAGUGCUUGACCACCUUACUCCAACGCAGAAGACUUGGGAAAGCAAAUCCAUACCAUCCAUAGCAAAGUCCCUGACUGGUAUCUCCUAAAACACGACUGUAGCUCAAGCUCCUAGCCUAAUCCUUUUAUUCCCUCCCCCACUCCACAAUUCCCCUUCCCUCCCCAAGUUUUUAUCUUAAGCAUGUAUCCAUAAGAGUCCAUGCUUAACCUGGGCUGGGGAGAAGCUCCAUAAAGUGUUUUCCAUACAAGGUUGAUGAUGUGAGUUGAACUUCUAGAGCCCACAUAAUAAUAAUGAUGAUGAUGAUGAUAAUAAUAAUGAUAAAAGCAGGGUGUGGUGGCAUGUAUUGUAAUCCCAGCUCUGAGGACUUAUCGGCUAGACAAGCUAGCCUGGUUGUGAGCUCCAGGAUAGUGAGAGACCCUGCCUCAAAAAAAAUGGUAGGGAUGGUAGUUGACUGUCUUGUUGAUAGUGGUUGAUAGUGAGGUGCACACACACAUGCACACAAAUAUACAAGCAUAUGGGGGUGGGGAGACAAGAAUCCUUACUAAACUAGAUUCAGUUUGUGUUUGCAGAAGAAUUCAACCUUUUAUAGAACCGCAUCUCCCAUCUAUGUUGGGCUCUGGAAUAUUAACCUCUAUGAAAUCCCUAUGUCUGAAAAUGCAUUCACAGACUACCACACUGGGAGAUGAGUGUGACAGAGCAGGAGCUGAUGUCUGCCUACUGACUGUGCUGUUAGAUCCUAAUCAGUUACCAUAUAUCUGCACUCCGGGUUCUCACUCACAGGACUGUGAGGAUACCCAGUCCAGGCUUAGGCUGUGAAAGGACAUCUGGAGGGCAGGGUUUAGGUUCGUUUUCUGUAUUGCUGUAUGUUUAGUGCCUAGAAUUGUAUCUGACACAAGGACGCAUCCAGUAAGCACUUUAAGCACUUUGUGAGCUAAUUAAGGAAACAGGGCACACAAAACCUUGCGGACUUUUCUGAUGCAUGUUUACUGUUCAUAUUACUGAACAGGUCAUGGCUGUUUCUGAGAGGAAAUGAGGGAAACUGCUUCUGUGUAGCAAUGCGCGACUUCUUGUUUCCCAAGCUGACUGGCAUCCAUCAAGCUGUUGUCGCUCUGUUGCUGAGAUUUCUCCACCGAGGCCCAGCACACAUUUAAGGACAAUUGUCAGUUCAUUUCCGGGGCCUUUCUUCUCAUUUGGGGCCUAAGUCUUACAUAAGUGUGACUUGCAGAAAAAUAUGAGCUUCACCGCCUAUUUGACUAAAAUGGUGAAGGCUCAGAAAGCCCCAGCAAAAUCAGGUUUGAAGGCUUAUUCUCCACAAUAUUUUUUUUUUUUUUUUUGCAAAAGAAUAUGAGCUUCACAGGCUAUUUUAUUAGAAUGGGGCAAGGCUUGUAAAGUCCCAGAGAAAUGAGGUUUGAAGGCUUAUUCCUUUAUAUUGUAGAAUUUCCUGACGCUUUUGAGAGGAAUCUGAUCAUCAGCCACAUUUAAAUAAGAUAAAGGACAGGACAAAGAAACAGCACUUACUGUCCCUCACACCAAGAUGUGCGGUGGCAAGAGUCCUUUUCCUUUUUUAAAAAAAUAAGAAUUUCAUAUAUGUAUAUAAUGAGUUUCAAUCAAACCAGUCCCCCAUUCCCUCCUAUCCUAUUCCUCCCGUGUCCCUUCCUACUCCCCCAUCUUAACCCACUUAGUCCACUUUUGCUGCCUGUAGAUUCGUGAGUACAGGAUCAGCUACCAGAGAGAGGUAAACUCUUAGGGGUUUCAUCCCUACAGAAAACAUAGUCUUCCUCAGAAGCCAUCAAUUGCCAAUAGCUUCUUGGGUAGGGGUGAGACUUCAUGACCCUUUCCUCUGUCCAUAUUUUGACUUGUCUGGCUAGAUAGUAUGUCUACAGUCACAGCUGUGAGUUAAUGUGUGUGAGAGCCCUAGCAAAUACUGCUUCCCUGCAGAAUCCACCACCUCUGGGUAUUGAAUUGUUCUGUCCUCCCUCCCACAGUGAUCCCUGUGACGCGGAUGUGCAGCUUAGAGAUGAGCACUGCACGCUCUCUCUCGUCUCUGCGCGAUGACUAGCUGUGGACCUCUGUAGCAAUUCCUAUCUAUUUGCAAAAAGCAGCUCCUCCAGCAGAAUAAUAGUGGGUCCUCCCCUAUGGCUCAUGGCACAGCCAUAGGUCUGUCUGUCUGUCUAUCUAUCUAUCUAUCUAUCUAUCUAUCUAUCUAUCUAUCUAUCUAUCUAUUUAUUGCAAUGCAAAGCAUGCUAAAUUAGCAGUGCAAAGCAUGGUUUAUGUCUGUGGAACAGUUUAAAUCCAAACAGAAAAUGGUUGAUUCCUUCCAUGGCAUCCAUGCCUCUGUUGCACCAGUGGACAUAUGUUGCCAAGUCAGUCAUUAUUGUAGUUCAAAGAGUUCACAGGUGGGUAAGAAUAUUGUUAAAUGUUUUUCUCCCCCUGGAAGUAUAAAUAUAACCUGACACUAUGAGAGCAAGCCAAUAGGAAGCUUUUCAGUUGGUACCAGCUUCGUCUUUCCAUAUUCUAUGAUUCAAGAAUGUAGUGUCAUGAGCAAUAGGAAUAAAUCAGCAACCAGGUCCUGGAGAGUACCCAAGAGUGAUAGCAAUAGUCUAUAAUGUUGGAGGGACCUAUGGGACCUCACUGACCACAAUUUGAAAAGAGACAACCCAUGCCUAGCACUAGGCCUUUCCUAUGGUGGUUACAUUGGAUAAUAAUAAUUGGAUAAUAAUUGGUCUCCAAGGCUGUAUCACUGGAGUUGGAUGUUGUGCUAAAAGGCAUAGUCUCUGCUGGUAUGGAAAUGGCAGUGGACAGCAACAGAAGCACCUUCUAGACUCAGCAAAAGCUUCAGCCAUGGAUGCUGCUCCUUGCACAGUCUAGCUAGAGAGAAAUGUGCCACCAUAAAGGUUAAGGAAAAGGAGAAGAGAGAGCUGCAUGGGUCCAACUGUGAGGACCUGACCUUGCAAACUCCAUUUUAGAGAAGGGACUUCAUCUUAAGCCAUAUAAUGAUCUGGGGGCGGGGGGUGAGCAGAUCUCAGCUCCAGAAAUGUGCAGGGAUAGUAGAUUUGAAUGGGUACCCUGAAAAUAGCCAACUAAGGAGCUAAGAAGCAGGACCAUAAAAUUUAUGAGGUCCAGAUGUUCCUAGGAUAUAUGGUAGAAGAGUAGCAUGCAGGAAGUAUAGGUGAGUCAACCAGACAGGUAGUAGAGGUGGGGCGAUGGGAACAGAGGAAUGCUGGGAAGGAGGAAACCAAUUCCUUGGCAGUUCUUCCCAGACAACUGAAGAAGCAACAUGUGAGCUGCCCUGCUGAGAAAGGUGUCACGCCCGACCUCGACCAGCAAGGACUGACGCAACACCAAGAGUCUUUCAGCAAGCGGCUUUAUUGCAAGAUCUCCGUUACAAAAUAACGUCUUCUUCCCCGAACCCUCCGUGUGAGCAGCUUAUAAGCCUCUGUUCUCCAAUGAUUGUUAGCCACGUGGGCAUAGCUCAUAGGCUCCCAGGCAACUGCAGACACUCGUCAGAGUAUGACACAGAGUCAUUCCACAGAGGAGCUGUGGUUCGAUGCCAAAUACUCCAAGGUGGCCAUUAGAGAGGCCAAGAGCCAGCGCCAUUUUUAAGGCCCGGUUGGGGAGCCAUGUGGGGGAGGCGAGCAGCGCCCCACAGAAAGGCAACGAGUCAUGUGGCUAACGUAGAUAAGAAUAAUGGGUUAAUAUAAGCUACAAGAGCUAAUAAGUAGCCUGAGCU